ACCCACCCUUUCGGGGGCCUUGGUACAGGCAGGCCGGGGAUUCCCCUCUUUACACCGGACUCGAUGAGUCCACCCUUUUGGGGCCCUUGAUACAGGCAGGUCAGGGGUUCCUUCUUUACACCGGCUCAGAACGCGAUGCGAUGAGCCCGCCCGUUUCGGGAACCUUGGUACAGGCAGGCCGGGGAUUCCCUCUUUUAUUGCUCCCGG
rnacentral:ncRNA from 1 species